rnacentral:miRNA from 9 species
UAGCACCAUUUGAAAUCAGUUU